AGUGUUGCACAGUGGCAAUGUCAUAGCCAAUGAGGUUUAUCUGAGGCGUAAUCAUUGCUGAUUGAAAAAAUUUUUAAUUAAUUUAUCUAUUUGUGAGCAAAGACCAUAUGGGCAACCCAGGGU
rnacentral:snRNA from 1 species